UUAGAAGUAAAACCUAUCUACCACAGCACUACGAACAAAGUUUAAAACUCAAAGAACUUGGCGGUGCUUUAGACUCUUCAGGGGAACCUGUCCUAUAAUCGACAAUCCACGAAUCAACCUCACCUUCCCCCAGUAUGUAUACCGUCGUCGCCAGGUAACUUCUAAAAACAAAAAAGUUAGCAAGCUUUGACGUCAGAUCAAGGUGCAGCCCACAAGAAGGAAAGGAUGGGUUACAAUUAAUACUCAUAACCACGGAUAUUGACUCUUGAAGGAGGACUUGAAAGUAAAACCCAGUAGUCAAAUGCUUUGAAUUAAGCUCUGGAGCG
rnacentral:rRNA from 1 species